rnacentral:sRNA from 1 species
GCUUUCUCACCAGACCCACCGAGCGGCGGCGGAGGCGAGAUGCGCUGGGCCGGCGCGUGGGUCCUGGGCCUGGCCUUGCUGCUGUGUAGCGUCGCGCGGUGCCAGCAGAGAGGCCUGUUUCCUGCCAUUCUCAAUCUUGCCAGCAAUGCUCACAUCAGCACCAAUGCCACCUGUGGCGAGAAGGGGCCCGAGAUGUUCUGCAAACUUGUGGAGCAUGUGCCAGGUCGGCCCGUCCGAAACCCACAGUGCCGGAUCUGUGAUGGCAACAGCGCAAACCCCAGAGAGCGCCAUCCAAUAUCACAUGCCAUAGAUGGCACCAAUAACUGGUGGCAAAGUCCCAGCAUUCAGAAUGGGAGAGAGUAUCACUGGGUCACAAUCACUCUGGACUUAAGACAGGUCUUUCAAGUUGCAUAUGUCAUCAUUAAAGCUGCCAAUGCCCCUCGACCUGGAAACUGGAUUUUGGAGCGUUCUCUGGACGGCACCACAUUCAGCCCUUGGCAGUAUUAUGCAGUCAGCGACUCAGAGUGUUUGUCUCGUUACAAUAUAACUCCAAGACGAGGGCCACCCACCUACAGGGCUGAUGAUGAAGUGAUCUGCACCUCCUAUUAUUCCAGAUUGGUGCCACUUGAGCAUGGAGAGAUUCAUACAUCACUCAUCAAUGGCAGACCAAGCGCUGACGAUCUUUCACCCAAGUUGUUGGAAUUCACUUCUGCACGAUAUAUUCGCCUUCGCUUACAACGCAUUAGAACGCUGAAUGCAGAUCUCAUGACCCUUAGCCACCGGGAACCUAAAGAACUGGAUCCUAUUGUUACCAGACGCUAUUAUUAUUCAAUAAAGGACAUUUCUGUUGGAGGCAUGUGUAUCUGCUAUGGCCAUGCUAGUAGCUGCCCGUGGGAUGAAACUACAAAGAAACUGCAGUGUCAAUGUGAGCAUAAUACUUGCGGGGAGAGCUGUAACAGGUGCUGUCCUGGGUACCAUCAGCAGCCCUGGAGGCCGGGAACCGUGUCCUCCGGCAAUACCUGUGAAGCAUGUAAUUGUCACAAUAAAGCCAAAGACUGUUACUAUGAUGAAAGUGUUGCAAAGCAGAAGAAAAGUUUGAAUACUGCUGGACAGUUCAGAGGAGGAGGGGUUUGCAUAAAUUGCUUGCAGAACACCAUGGGAAUCAACUGUGAAACCUGUAUUGAUGGAUAUUAUAGACCACACAAAGUAAGAGUAUUUCUUUGCCAUUGCUGAUCUUCAUCAUCUUCCCCAGGUGGAAAAGAGACUUUGUCAAGUCUUAACCUCUGUAUUGGAGACUUUUGUAAUAUUUCAUUUAUAUCCUUGUUAUGCCAGUAGUGUUUUUAUAUAUAUAUUUCCUACUCUAUCCUGCUUUCUUGCUCAAAAUAAGAUGUCAGACAUUGUUAUUUAACUUGAAUUCAGGGGUCCAUUCGCUAUGUAAUCCUGGGUCAUAAUACUAACUACAGAUGUGAAAAUUCAGCUAUAACUAAAGCAGCUGUCUCUUGCCUGUAGGAGAUGUUCAGCCAAUCCUUUUUUUAAUUUUUAUUUUUUGAGACGGAGUCUCGCUCUGUCGCCAGGCUGGAGUGCAGUGGCACGAUCUCAGCUCACUGCAACCUCUGCCUCCCAGGUUCAAGAGAUUCUCCUGCCUCAGCCUCCCGAGUAGCUGGGAUUACAGGCACGUGCCACCACACCCAGCUAAUUUUUGUAUUUUUAGUAGAGACAGGGUUUCAGCGUGUCGGCCAGGAUGGUCUCAAUCUCUUGACCUUGUGAUCCGCCUGCCUUGGCCUCCCAAAGUGCUGGGAUUACAAAUGUGAGCCACCGCGCCCGGCCGUGUUCAGCCAAUUUUUAAUUGACUUGAUAAGUAGUUCUUACAUGGGUCCUUGUGGUGGCCUGGUUAUACGUGGCUCUGAGAGACAGCAGAGCGAGGAGGGCUGGAUAGCAGGGAUAAUAGAAAAAGAUGGCACUUCGCUAAUGGUACUAACUACUGCCACCAUCAAAAAGGUGUUUGGGCUUCCUGGCUUGAGAUCACCUUAUCUUCCUCAAACCUAACCCCCACCCCCAUGCACAAAAUCAUCGUAAUAGUCCCAUCUUGAGUAAAAAGCUAAUACCUUCUUAUUUAUACUAUUGCCAACAUUGCUGUUAUUUCUAGUAAGAGAAUCCAGAGCAACCUCUGCCUUUCAGGUGUCUCCUUAUGAGGAUGAGCCUUGCCGCCCCUGUAACUGUGACCCUGUGGGGUCCCUCAGUUCUGUCUGUAUUAAGGAUGACCUCCAUUCUGACUUACACAAUGGGAAGUGGCCGGGUCAGUGCCCAUGUAAGGAAGGCUAUGCAGGAGAAAAAUGUGAUCGCUGCCAACUUGGCUAUAAGGAUUACCCGACCUGUGUCUCCUGUGGGUGCAACCCAGCGGGUAGUGCCAGUGAUGAGCCCUGCACAGGGCCCUGUGUUUGUAAGGAAAACGUUGAGGGGAAGGCCUGUGAUCGCUGCAAGCCAGGAUUCUAUAACUUGAAGGAAAAAAACCCCCGGGGCUGCUCCGAGUGCUUCUGCUUUGGCGUUUCUGAUGUCUGCAGCAGCCUCUCUUGGCCUGUUGGUCAGGUAAACGAUAUGUCCGGGUGGCUGGUCACCGACUUGAUCAGUCCCAGGAAGAUCCUGUCUCAGCAAGAUGCACUAGGCAGGCGCCAUCAGGUCAGCAUCAACAACACCGCGGUCAUGCAGAGGCUGGCUCUCAAGUACUACUGGGCGGCCCCCAAGGCCUACCUUGGAAAUAAGCUGACUGCGUUUGGUGGAUUCCUGAAAUACACGGUGUCUUACGAAAUUCCAGUAGAGACGGUAGACAGUAACCUCAUGUCGCAUGCUGACGUCAUCAUUAAGGGAAACGGACUCACUUUAAGCACACAGGCUGAGGGUCUGUCAUUGCAGCCUUAUGAAGAGUACACAAAUGUGGUUAGACUUGUGCCUGAAAACUUCCGAGAUUUUCACAGCAAAAUGCAGAUUGAUCGUGACCAGCUGAUGACUGUCCUUGCCAAUGUGACACAUCUUUUGAUCAGAGCCAACUACAAUUCUGCAAAAAUGGCUCUUUACAGGUUGGAGUCCGUCUCUCUGGACAUAGCCAGCCCUAAUGCCAUCGACCUGGUGGUGGCCGCUGAUGUGGAGCACUGUGAAUGUCCACAAGGCUACACAGGGACCUCCUGUGAGUUGUGCCUCUCUGGCUAUUACCGCGUGGAUGGAAUACUCUUUGGAGGAAUUUGUCAAGCCUGCGAAUGCCACGGCCAUGCAGCUGAGUGCGACGUUCAUGGCGUUUGCAUUGCAUGUGCGCACACCACCACCGGCGACCACUGUGAACAGUGCUUGCCCGGCUUCUACGGGGAGCCUUCCCGAGGGACACCUGGGGACUGCCAGCCCUGCGCCUGCCCUCUCACCAUAGCCUCCAACAAUUUCAGCCCCACCUGCCACCUCAGUGAUGGAGAUGAAGUGGUCUGUGACCGGUGUGCCCCGGGCUACUCAGGAGCUUGGUGUGAGAGAUGUGCAGAUGGUUACUAUGGAAACCCAACCGUGCCUGGCGAAUCUUGUGUUCCCUGUGACUGCAGCGGCAAUGUGGACCCCUCGGAGGCUGGUCACUGUGACUCAGUCACCGGGGAGUGCCUGAAGUGCCUGGGGAACACAGACGGCGCCCACUGUGAAAGGUGUGCUGACGGGUUCUACGGGGAUGCUGUGACAGCCAAGAACUGCCGCGCCUGUGAAUGCCAUGUGAAAGGCUCCCAUUCUGCCGUGUGCCAUCCUGAGACCGGGCUCUGCGACUGCAAACCAAACGUGACUGGACAGCAGUGUGACCAGUGCUUGCAUGGCUAUUAUGGGCUGGACUCAGGCCAUGGCUGCCAGCCCUGCAACUGCAGUGUGGCAGGCUCCGUGUCAGAUGACUGCACGGAUGAAGGCCAGUGUCACUGCGUCCCAGGUGUGGCAGGGAAAAGGUGUGACAGGUGUGCCCGUGGCUUCUACACCUAUCAGGAUGGUAGCUGUACACCCUGUGACUGCCCACACACUCAGAAUACCUGCGACCCAGAAACUGGAGAGUGUGUCUGCCCCCCUCACACACAGGGUGUGAAGUGUGAAGAAUGUGAGGAUGGGCACUGGGGCUACGAUGUGGAGGUGGGGUGCCAGGCCUGCAAUUGCAGUCUCGUGGGGUCGACUCAUCAUCAGUGCGAUGUGGUCACCAGCCAUUGCCAGUGCAAGUCAAAAUUUGGUGGCCGGGCCUGCGAUCAGUGUUCCUUGGGUUACAGAGAUUUUCCUGACUGUGUUCCCUGUGACUGUGACCUGAGGGGGACGUCGGGGGACGCCUGCAACCUGGAGCAGGGUCUCUGCGGCUGUGCGGAGGAAACCGGGGCCUGCCCUUGUAAGGAGAAUGUCUUUGGCCCUCAGUGCAACGAGUGUCGAGAGGGCACCUUUGCUCUCCGCGCAGACAACCCCCUGGGCUGCAGCCCCUGCUUCUGCUCCGGGCUGUCCCACCUCUGCUCAGAGCUGGAGGGCUACGUGAGGACCCCAGUAACGCUGGGCUCCGAUCAGCCUCUUCUGCGUGUGGUUUCUCAGAGUAACUUGAGGGGCACGACCGAGGGGGUUUACUACCAGGCCCCCGACUUCCUGCUGGAUGCCGCCACCAUCCGGCAGCACAUCCGUGCAGAGCCGUUUUACUGGCGGCUGCCGCAGCAGUUCCAAGGAGACCAGCUCAUGGCCUAUGGUGGCAAACUGAAGUACAGCGUGGCCUUCUAUUCUUUGGAUGGCAUCGGCACCUCCAAUUUUGAGCCUCAAGUUCUCAUCAAAGGUGGUCGGAUCAGAAAGCAAGUCAUUUACAUGGAUGCACCAGCCCCUGAGAAUGGAGUGAGACAGGAACAAGAAGUAGCAAUGAGAGAGAAUUUUUGGAAAUAUUUUAACUCUGUUUCUGAAAAACCUGUCACGCGAGAGGAUUUUAUGUCUGUCCUUAGCGAUAUUGAGUACAUCCUCAUCAAGGCAUCGUAUGGUCAAGGAUUACAGCAGAGCAGAAUCUCAGACAUUUCAAUGGAGGUUGGCAGAAAGGCUGAAAAGCUGCACCCAGAAGAAGAGGUUGCAUCUCUUUUAGAGAAUUGUGUCUGUCCUCCUGGCACUGUGGGAUUCUCAUGUCAGGACUGUGCCCCUGGGUACCACAGAGGGAAGCUCCCAGCAGGGAGUGACAGGGGACUGCGCCCUCUGAUUGCUCCUUGUGUACCCUGCAGUUGCAACAACCAUAGUGACACCUGUGACCCUGACACCGGGAAGUGUCUGAACUGUGGCGAUAACACAGCAGGUGACCAUUGUGAUGUGUGUGCUUCUGGUUACUACGGGAAGGUGACUGGCUCAGCAAGUGACUGUGCUCCGUGUGCCUGUCCUCACAGCCCUCCUGCCAGUUUUAGUCCCACUUGCGUCUUGGAAGGUGACCACAAUUUCCGUUGUGACGCCUGUCUCCUGGGCUAUGAAGGAAAACAUUGUGAAAGGUGCUCCUCUGGCUAUUAUGGGAACCCUCAAACACCAGGUGGCAGUUGCCAGAAGUGUGACUGCAACCCGCACGGCUCUGUCCACGGUGACUGUGACCGCACAUCUGGGCAGUGCGUUUGUAGGCUGGGGGCCUCGGGGCUCCGGUGCGAUGAGUGUGAACCGAGGCACAUUCUGAUGGAAACGGAUUGUGUUUCCUGUGAUGAUGAGUGUGUAGGUGUGCUGCUGAAUGACUUGGAUGAGAUUGGUGAUGCCAUUCUUUCUCUGAACCUCACUGGCAUUAUCCCUGUCCCAUAUGGAAUUUUGUCAAACCUGGAAAAUACAACGAAAUAUCUCCAGGAAUCAUUAUUAAAAGAAAAUAUGCAAAAGGACCUGGGGAAAAUUAAGCUUGAAGGUGUUGCAGAAGAAAUGGACAACCUGCAAAAGAAGCUCACUAGAAUGUUAGCGAGUACCCAAAAGGUGAAUAGGGCAACUGAGAGAAUCUUCAAGGAGAGUCAAGAUCUGGCCAUAGCCAUUGAGAGGCUGCAGAUGAGCAUCACAGAAAUUAUGGAAAAGACAACUUUAAAUCAGACUUUGGACGAAGAUUUCCUACUACCCAAUUCUACUCUUCAGAACAUGCAACAGAAUGGUACAUCUUUGCUAGAAAUCAUGCAGAUAAGAGACUUCACACAGUUGCACCAAAAUGCCACCCUUGAACUCAAGGCUGCUGAAGAUUUAUUGUCACAAAUUCAGGAAAAUUACCAGAAGCCGCUGGAAGAAUUGGAGGUAUUGAAAGAAGCAGCAAGCCACCUCCUUUCAAAGCACAAUAAUGAACUAAAGGCGGCUGAGGCGCUCGUGAGGGAAGCUGAGGCAAAGAUGCAGGAAAGCAACCACCUGCUGCUCAUGGUCAAUGCUAAUCUGAGAGAAUUCAGUGAUAAAAAGCUACAUGUUCAAGAAGAACAAAAUCUGACCUCAGAACUCAUUGCCCAAGGAAGAGGAUUGAUAGAUGCUGCUGCUGCACAAACAGAUGCUGUACAAGAUGCUCUAGAGCACUUAGAGGAUCACCAGGAUAAGCUACUUUUAUGGUCUGCCAAAAUCAGGCACCACAUAGAUGACCUGGUCAUGCACAUGUCCCAAAGGAACGCACUCGACCUGGUCUACAGAGCUGAGGACCAUGCCGCUGAGUUCCAGAGACUAGCAGAUGUUCUGUACAGUGGCCUUGAAAACAUCAGAAAUGUGUCCCUGAAUGCCACCAGUGCAGCCUAUGUCCAUUACAACAUCCAGAGCCUGAUCGAAGAAUCGGAGGAACUGGCCAGAGAUGCUCACAGGACUGUGACUGAGACGAGCCUGCUCUCAGAAUCCCUUGUUUAUAAUGGGAAAGCGGCCGUGCAGCGCAGCUCCAAAUUUCUAAAAGAAGGCAACAACCUCAGCAGGAGGCUUCCAGGUAUUGCAUUGGAACUGAGUGAAUUGAGAAAUAAGACAAACAGAUUUCAAGAGAAUGCUGUUGAAAUUACCUGGCAGACCAAUGAAUCACUCUUGAUACUUAGAGCAAUUCCUGAAGGUAUAAGAGACAAGGGAGCCAAAACCAAAGAGCUGGCCACGUCUGCAAGCCAGAGCGCGGUGAGCACGCUGAGGGACGUGGCGGGGCUGAGCCAGGAGCUGCUGAACACAUCUGCCAGCCUGUCUAGGGUCAACACCACAUUACAAGAGACGCACCAGCUUCUGCAGGACUCCACCAUGGCCACUCUGUUGGCUGGAAGAAAAGUCAAAGAUGUGGAAACUCAAGCCAACCUUUUGUUUGAUCGGUUGAAGCCCUUGAAGAUGUUAGAGGAGAAUCUGAGCAGAAACCUAUCAGAAAUUAAACUGUUGAUCAGCCAGGCCCGCAAACAAGCAGCUUCUAUUAAAGUCGCUGUGUCUGCAGACAGAGAUUGCAUCCGGGCCUACCAGCCUCAGAUUUCCUCUACCAACUACAACACCUUAACACUAAAUGUUAAGACACAGGAACCCGAUAAUCUUCUCUUCUACCUCGGUAGCAGCACCGCUUCUGAUUUCCUUGCAGUGGAGAUGCGGCGAGGGAAAGUGGCCUUCCUGUGGGACCUGGGCUCUGGGUCCACACGCUUGGAGUUUCCAGACUUUCCCAUUGAUGACAACAGAUGGCACAGUAUCCAUGUAGCCAGAUUUGGAAACAUUGGUUCACUGAGUGUAAAGGAAAUGAGCUCAAAUCAGAAGUCACCAACAAAAACAAGUAAAUCCCCUGGGACAGCUAAUGUUCUGGAUGUAAAUAAUUCAACACUCAUGUUUGUUGGAGGUCUUGGAGGACAAAUCAAGAAAUCUCCUGCUGUGAAGGUUACUCAUUUUAAAGGCUGCUUGGGAGAGGCCUUCCUGAAUGGAAAAUCCAUCGGCCUAUGGAACUAUAUUGAAAGGGAAGGCAAGUGCCGUGGGUGCUUUGGAAGCUCCCAGAAUGAAGACCCUUCCUUCCAUUUUGACGGGAGUGGGUACUCUGUCGUGGAGAAGUCACUUCCGGCUACCGUGACCCAGAUAAUCAUGCUUUUUAAUACCUUUUCACCUAACGGACUUCUUCUCUACCUGGGUUCAUACGGCACAAAAGACUUUUUAUCCAUCGAGCUGUUUCACGGCAGAGUGAAGGUUAUGACUGACCUGGGUUCAGGACCCCUUACCCUUUUGACAGACAGACGUUAUAACAAUGGAACCUGGUACAAAAUUGCCUUCCAGCGAAACCGGAAGCAAGGAGUCCUAGCAGUUAUCGAUGCCUAUAACACCAGUAAUAAAGAAACCAAGCAGGGUGAGACUCCGGGAGCAUCUUCUGACCUCAACCGCCUAGACAAGGACCCGAUUUAUGUGGGUGGAUUACCAAGGUCAAGAGUUGUAAGGAGAGGUGUCACCACCAAAAGCUUUGUGGGCUGCCUCAAGAACCUGGAAAUAUCCAGAUCAACCUUUGACUUACUCAGAAAUUCCUAUGGAGUGAGAAAAGGCUGUUUACUGGAGCCCAUCCGGAGUGUUAGCUUCUUGAAAGGCGGCUACAUUGAAUUGCCACCCAAAUCUUUGUUACCAGAAUCGGAAUGGCUGGUAACAUUUGCCACCACGAACAGCAGUGGCAUCAUCCUGGCUGCCCUCGGCGGGGAUGUGGAGAAGCGGGGUGAUCGUGAGGAAGCACAUGUGCCCUUCUUUUCCAUCAUGCUGAUCGGAGGCAACAUUGAGGUACAUGUCAAUCCUGGGGAUGGGACAGGCCUGAGAAAAGCUCUCCUGCACGCUCCCACGGGUACAUGCAGCGAUGGACAAGCGCAUUCCAUCUCCUUGGUCAGGAAUCGGAGAAUUAUCACUGUCCAAUUGGAUGAGAACAAUCCUGUGGAAAUGAAGUUGGGCCCAUUAGUAGAAAGCAGGACGAUAAAUGUGUCCGAUCUGUACGUCGGGGGAAUUCCAGAGGGAGAGGGGACAUCGCUGCUCACAAUGAGAAGAUCGUUCCAUGGCUGUAUCAAAAACCUGAUCUUCAAUUUGGAACUUUUGGAUUUCAACAGUGCAGUUGGCCAUGAGCAAGUCGACUUGGACACCUGCUGGCUGUCAGAAAGGCCUAAGCUGGCUCCCGAUGCAGAGGACAGCAAGCUCUUGCCAGAGCCCCGGGCUUUUCCAGAACAGUGUGUGGUGGAUGCAGCUCUGGAGUACGUUCCUGGCGCUCACCAGUUUGGUCUCACACAAAACAGCCAUUUCAUCUUGCCUUUUAAUCAGUCGGCUGUCAGAAAGAAGCUCUCGGUUGAGCUAAGUAUCCGCACGUUCGCCUCCAGCGGCCUGAUUUACUACAUGGCUCAUCAGAACCAAGCAGACUACGCCGUGCUCCAGCUGCACGGGGGCCGCCUCCACUUCAUGUUUGACCUUGGCAAAGGCAGAACAAAGGUCUCUCACCCUGCACUGCUCAGCGAUGGCAAGUGGCACACGGUCAAGACAGACUAUGUUAAAAGAAAAGGCUUCAUAACUGUUGACGGCCAAGAGUCCCCCAUGGUGACUGUGGUGGGAGACGGAACCAUGCUGGAUGUGGAGGGUUUGUUCUACCUUGGAGGCCUGCCCUCCCAGUACCAGGCCAGGAAAAUUGGAAAUAUCACCCACAGCAUCCCUGCCUGCAUUGGGGAUGUGAUGGUUAACAGCAAACAGCUGGACAAGGACAGCCCGGUGUCUGCCUUCACGGUGAACAGGUGCUACGCAGUGGCCCAGGAAGGAACAUACUUUGACGGAAGCGGAUAUGCCGCUCUUGUCAAAGAGGGCUACAAAGUCCAGUCAGAUGUGAACAUCACACUGGAGUUUCGAACCUCCUCGCAGAAUGGCGUCCUCCUGGGGAUCAGCACUGCCAAAGUGGAUGCCAUUGGACUAGAGCUUGUGGACGGCAAGGUCUUGUUCCAUGUCAACAAUGGUGCUGGCAGGAUAACAGCUGCAUAUGAGCCCAAAACCACCACUGCGCUCUGUGAUGGAAAAUGGCACACUCUUCAGGCUAAGAAAAGCAAACACCGUAUCACUCUGAUUGUCGACGGGAACGCAGUUGGCGCUGAAAGUCCACACACCCAGUCUACCUCGGUGGACACCAACAAUCCCAUUUAUGUUGGUGGCUAUCCUGCUGGUGUGAAGCAAAAAUGCCUGCGCAGCCAGACCUCGUUCCGCGGGUGUUUGAGGAAGCUAGCUCUGAUUAAGAGCCCACAGGUGCAAUCCUUUGACUUCAGCAGAGCGUUCGAACUGCAUGGAGUUUUCCUUCAUUCCUGUCCUGGGACCGAGUCCUGAACUUCAAGCAGAAUCCUCAUUUGGAAUCAUUGCUGAUAUUUUGAGGAGAAGUGUAUGUGUGAAUUAAGAAUCUCUUCAGUUCAUAUUUCAUUUCCAACUCAGGUUAAGUGUUUCUGGGGAGAGAUGUUGUG